rnacentral:rRNA from 1 species
AGUGAACGCUGGCGGUAGGCCUAACACAUGCAAGUCGAACGGCAGCACAGUAAGAGCUUGCUCUUACGGGUGGCGAGUGGCGGACGGGUGAGGAAUACAUCGGAAUCUACUUUUUCGUGGGGGAUAACGUAGGUAAACUUACUCUAAUACCGCAUACGACCUACGGGUGAAAGCAGGGGAUCUUCGGACCUUGCGCGAUUGAAUGAGCCGAUGUCGGAUUAGCUAGUUGGCGGGGUAAAGGCCCACCAAGGCGACGAUCCGUAGCUGGUCUGAGAGGAUGAUCAGCCACACUGGAACUGAGACACGGUCCAGACUCCUACGGGAGGCAGCAGUGGGGAAUAGUGGACAAUGGGCGCAAGCCUGAUACAGCCAUACCGCGUGGGUGAAGAAGGCCUUCGGGUUGUAAAGCCCUUUUGUUGGGAAAGAACAGCAGCAGGUUAAUACCACGCUGUUCUGACGGUACCCAAAGAAUAAGCACCGGCUAACUUCGUG